GGGGCCUUAAACCCCAACCCAUUCAUGGCAAGGUCGAAACGCUUUGUGGUUCAACUGAUUUGAAGAGCUUGCUCAGAUAUGACGAUGGACAUUGCAAAGAGUGGCGAACGGGUGAGUAACACGUGGGAAACCUACCUCUUAGCAGGGGAUAACAUUUGGAAACAGAUGCUAAUACCGUAUAAGUCCUUUCUUACAUGGUUGUUAUUUAAAAGAUGGUUCUGCUAUCACUAAGAGAUGGUCCCGCGGUGCAUUAGCUAGUUGGUAAGGUAAUGGCUUACCAAGGCGAUGAUGCAUAGCCGAGUUGAGAGACUGAUCGGCCACAAUGGGACUGAGACACGGCCCAUACUCCUACGGGAGGCAGCAGUAGGGAAUCUUCCACAAUGGGCGAAAGCCUGAUGGAGCAACGCCGCGUGUGUGAUGAAGGGUUUCGGCUCGUAAAACACUGUUGUAAGAGAAGAAUGACAUUGAGAGUAACUGUUCAAUGUGUGACGGUAUCUUACCAGAAAGGAACGGCUAAAUACGUGCCAGCAGCCGCGGUAAUACGUAUGUUCCAAGCGUUAUCCGGAUUUAUUGGGCGUAAAGCGAGCGCAGACGGUUAUUUAAGUCUGAAGUGAAAGCCCUCAGCUCAACUGAGGAAUUGCUUUGGAAACUGGAUGACUUGAGUGCAGUAGAGGAAAGUGGAACUCCAUGUGUAGCGGUGAAAUGCGUAGAUAUAUGGAAGAACACCAGUGGCGAAGGCGGCUUUCUGGACUGUAACUGACGUUGAGGCUCGAAAGUGUGGGUAGCAAACAGGAUUAGAUACCCUGGUAGUCCACACCGUAAACGAUGAGUGCUAGGUGUUUGAGGGUUUCCGCCCUUAAGUGCCGCAGCUAACGCAUUAAGCACUCCGCCUGGGGAGUACGACCGCAAGGUUGAAACUCAAAGGAAUUGACGGGGACCCGCACAAGCGGUGGAGCAUGUGGUUUAAUUCGAAGCAACGCGAAGAACCUUACCAGGUCUUGACAUCCCUUGACAACUCCAGAGAUGGAGUGUUCCCUUCGGGGACAAGGUGACAGGUGGUGCAUGGUUGUCGUCAGCUCGUGUCGUGAGAUGUUGGGUUAAGUCCCGCAACGAGCGCAACCCUUAUUACUAGUUGCCAGCAUUCAGUUGGGCACUCUAGUGAGACUGCCGGUGACAAACCGGAGGAAGGUGGGGAUGACGUCAAAUCAUCAUGCCCCUUAUGACCUGGGCUACACACGUGCUACAAUGGCGUAUACAACGAGUUGCCAACCCGCGAGGGUGAGCUAAUCUCUUAAAGUACGUCUCAGUUCGGAUUGUAGGCUGCAACUCGCCUACAUGAAGUCGGAAUCGCUAGUAAUCGCGGAUCAGCACGCCGCGGUGAAUACGUUCCCGGGUCUUGUACACACCGCCCGUCACACCAUGAGAGUUUUUUUUUACUCAAAAGAGCACAGCCCGAUAUUCUUAUUUCCCC
rnacentral:rRNA from 1 species